rnacentral:ribozyme from 1 species
AUAAUAACUCCGCCUGUAGCUCUUAUAGGGUUGCUGCCGGUCCCAAGCCCGGGUAAAGGAGGAGGGUUGG